CAGCCUCGGAGUCAGGACUCUGGCUAAGACAUCGGCAUCCCGUAUCAGCGUUUGGGCCCUGGCUCCAGCUCUCCAGUCCAGCUUCCUGCACAGGAGACACACGGAGCCACGGGAGAGACACCAGUUCCGCCCCAACCACUGCGAGGGCCAGUGCAGUAGCCGGCAGGAAGAAGCCGCAGCUGAGCGCCACUCCCUCGGAGAGCAGACCCUCACCCUGCCGCCUGCUGGACCCCGUGGGCAGAGCGACCUUUGCCAUAGUCAGGAGGGCAAUGCCCAGACCUGGACCAGCGGGCAGGCUCUGCUGUGCAAAUAGAGGCCGGGGGUCCUCUUGUCUUUCCACUGGUGACCGUGAGCGCCCCCUGGAGACGAGGGAGGCUCACGGGAGGGAGCUGAGCCCUGUCCAAGGCCCUGCUUGCCCACUGCCAUGAGCUGGAUCCUGACACGAAGGCUGGGUGCUACCAGAUUGCCCGGUCCUCCAGCCCCAGGGACACCGCAGGGCAGACGUGUGUGCAGGGGGCUGUAGGGUGGGAGCAGACAGCGAAGCUCUGAGUCAAGACCACGGAUCUGGAGCCUUCUGAUGGUGAGCACCCCCCCAGGCAACCUAGCACAGACUUGGUUCUCCUUAGAGGAGGCAGGGGGCUCCCUGGGGAAGCUGCGAGGGUCCCACACCUGCAGCCCAGGGCUCCUUCCUCCAGGCCUGUGGCACUACUGGGGUCAGGAGAUGCAAAGACCCAUCUCAAUUCGCUGGACCCGAUCUGUGGCGUGCUCUAGUGGGCUCUGUUCCCAGGGGAGACUAUAUGUGAAGCACAAUUUCCUCUGGUUUCCUCUGUGCACGGCUGAGAGGAGACCAGACUGUAGACGGACUAAAAGCCCAUGUUUCAAGUGGGGGAGAAUCAGAGAAAAGGGGUUACCUGGGUUCUCACCAGAUGCUCCUAGGACAGCCCCAGGGGAGGUACAGGAUGUAAGAAAGGCCUUGACCUUGAAGGGAGAUUUCCAGAUAGACAAAGGCAAGGGUCAUCGGGCUUAGGAAACGUUAGGAAUGGAGUGGGGAGGAGAGGCAAGGAGGUGUGAGUGGGCACUCAUUCCCAGAGCAUGGUGGGGGCCAGGAAGGCAAAGGUGGUGGGACCCGGAGCCCAGCGGGAGGGGCUGGCUCAUGCGCAGGGCGUGGAGCAGCUGCUGGUAGGUUCGGAAACCGUCUCCCUGCAGGGCCGUCAUGAAUAGAACUAGAUUGGUCUGGGCACCCCCCGGAACCAGGUCUGCAGUUGUGUUGCUGGUACCUGCUGAGUGCAGGUGCCAAUACAGCCUGACCCAGGCUAAGGGCCCUGACGGGACAGAAGUGACACCCACUAUCUAUUUAGAUGAUCUCACUUGCCUAAAGAAUUUAGCAAGGGCCUGGGCUGUAAUGGGAGCUCAGGACACGGUAUUAUGACUGGAUCUUCCUUAAAACGAGAUGAAAAAGUCUUGUUGUCUCCUUUCUAUGAUGUGCAGAAGCUCUGAGAAGUCACUUUAUUCUUCCAAGAGAGAGGUCUUUCAUCCACUGGUUCACUCCCCAUAUGGCUGGGGCGGGCACUGUGGCGCAGUGCGUUAACACCCUGGCCCGAAGCACUGGCAUCCCUUAUGGGCGCUUGUUCGAGACGUGGCUGCCCCACUUCUGAUCCAGCUCUCUGCUGUGGCCUGGGAAAGCAGUAGAAGAUGGCCAAAGUCCCUGAGCCCCUGCACCUGUGUGGAAGACCCUGAAGAAGCUCCUGGCUCCUGGCUUUGGAUCGGCUUAGCUCUGGCUGAUGCGGCCAAUUGGGGAGUGAACCAUCAGGCCAUAAAGAAAACUGGAUCAGAAUUGGAGCAGCCAGGACUCGAACUGGCGCCCACGUGGAUGCCAGCACUGCAGAAAAUGGUAUUACCUGCGCUACGCCACAGCACCGGCCCUAUUUUGUCAUUUCUUGAUGCUCUGGCUGUCUCCGUGUGGAAGCGAGAAUCGCCCACAGGACAACGAUGCUGGAUUCUGCCUCCAUGGCUGGAGCCGCUGGACCGGCACUGGGAGCGGUCCGAGCCAUGGCUGCCUGUUCACGACCUCUCUCCAUUCGGGACAACGCCGCCCUUAGAGUCAGCUACAGCGACUCCGCAUCGAGGCGGUCUGCUGCCAAGGUUGCUCUGAUGUUCCACUGCAUUAAGAGCCGGACUUCUUCCGGUUCCUAGGGCCAGCCUCCACCGCCCUCCGG